UGAGGGUAUUAUAGUAAACAACCACCGUGAGAGUUAGCGUGAGAGCGCCACAUAGGAAAGUGACUUCUAUAGAGAUAUUGUUUUGAGGAAACGUGAGAACUGUUAUUGAUAGAUAGUAAAUCGCUGUUUUAUGAAGAAAAAAAAAAAUCGCUGAAGGGUGAAGCCCAUCGAAAAAUAUGAAGCUGAGAAUUUGGUUAUAAAAGAUUCAGGACCCUUUAUUAAUAAGGCCUUAAACCAAGGCCUUAGUGGAUCUCUCAUUUUAACCAGUGGAUGUUUUAUUUUAUAUCGAUAAUGAUUAAAAAGCCUUUCAAAUUCUAACUCCUAUUAGAUUAAAUAUUUGUUGGGCCUUUAUUUGAAAGGCUUUU
rnacentral:lncRNA from 1 species